UCUUAGCUUCUGUAUAUAUAUAUGUUCUUUUUCUAACCUCAAAAUCUUAAAUAUUACGAUAAGUGGGAAAAAGUUGAUUUAAUCUAUUGAAAAUAGAAUUAGAAUAAAAAAAAGAAAAAGAAGCAAGAUCCACAGUUCGAUAAUCAAAAUUGAAUCAAAUCUCUUUUCAUUUUUAAUUUCCGUUUCUCCACUAUUUCGUAAUUUCGAUUUCGUGUAUACGUAUCACCGUUUACCGUUUUAAAUCUUAGGGUUUAGAGGAAAAAAUAAAAAUGGCUGGUGACCUGGAUAAUUUAAUUGAUUAAAUUCAAUCAAUCGACAAACGAAACUUUGAAUUCAAAUUCUAAUCCGAGUAUAUUAUACUCGACGUCUCUAUCGAAUAAAUUUACCGUAUAUUUAGAUUCGACUGACUAGCGUGAUAAACAUAAAAAUUAAUGAUAAAGUGUGAACAGUGAAAAUUAUUUGUUAAAUAUUUUUUUUCUCUUUUUCCCCUCCCUCCCCCCUUUAUUUUUAAAUGAAAAAGAAUUCUUUGUUUCAUUCGUGAACGCGUCACUGGCGCAUUGCGGUAAGUACGCCCUCUAUUUCGUAACCGUGGAAACGUUUGUCUGUAUAGCAUGCAAGUUCUGUUAUAGAUGCGUAUCAUACAGCAACUUGGUCCUCUAUUAUACCCGGCGGGAAGAGCAAGUAUAACAAAACACAGUGUAACAAACAAAAAAUAUAUAGACUAUAUAUAGUUACGACUAAUUAUUUUCGUUGACGAACUUUCACAUAUUUCUGUAUCGAUCGAUGGUUAAAAAAAAAAAAAAAAAGAAAGAAAGAAAAGAAAAGAAAAAAGCAAAAUAUAAAGCAACAGUUUACAGUUUACAGAUUAUAUUGUUCGUGUUUUAUAUUAUUUUCAAAAAAUUAUAACCAGUAGAAUACCGAUAAGUUAUUAAAAAAAAAAAAUCGGAUUUUAUCACGUGUGAGGUUAUAUUUACGAACUUCGAUAGCAAUUGAAUGUGAUCUCGAAUAACUUGUGACGAAUUAAUUCCAAUUUGAAAUAAAGUUCGUUAUAUAAUAGCAAUUAUAACUAUUGUUAGUUCAAAAUUUCUUUUUUUAAUUAACAAUUGUUGAACUAUUAUAUUUAUCAUAAUUCUAUUGAAAUAAAAUGCAUGCCAAUAUAUAUUUAGAUAUUACAUUUAACCGUGAAAACUUUGUCGAACGAUUGAAGAUGCAAUCAUCGUGUAAGAUGAGGAAAUACGAUAUCGAUAAAGGUCAGUUUACAGAGUAUUACUGCUAAUACAGCAACAGGUAUGGUUUGCUCAAUAACAAAGUUGCUUGUUUCCCGAGAUAUAAAUUAAAUUUCGUUUAAUCUAAUCGAAUACAAAAGACAAAAAUUUGAAUAGACAAUCAAUCGUAAUCCCCUUGAACAAGGUUACGUUUGAAUAAUUUUAUCUACCAAAUAUAAUGGGCAAGGUGAUAGAUAAUGUUUGCAAAGCAAACGUAAUACCACCGAUAAGAUAAAUAACUUUCAAGCUAGUGUAUAUAUCAAUGUAAAUGCAACAAAAUCAUAGUUCAUCGGAGAUGUCUAUAAGUUAUAAUUCGUCCUGAUUCUUCGUGUAACGUGUCGUAGUAUCGUUCUUUCGAGCAAACGUUCGUGGAACGAACAGAGAAGCGUACAAAUUCGAGUAUCGACGUGGGAUGAGACAUCGAACGAAUGUACACCUUGUCGCAAGCGUUUGCAAUCGUAUCACGUAUGACGAAACACUUACAUGUGUGGGUAACAUGGAAGACAAAUUUGAAAUGCGACUUUCGUGCAAACGAAUGAAAGUACUAAAAAUAUUAAAAUUUCGAAAUUGUUAUAUUUAAUGGAUUAAAUUCGUAAUCAAAAAUUGCAAAAAUUUCUUAAUCAACGGAAAUUCGAAUAACUCGACAAGGAAGACUUCACAAAAAUUUUAUUGAUAAAAUUAUUUCACGUCUUUUCGUCAUCUAUCGAAAAUAUAAUUAAAUUAUUUCUUUAAUUGAAAAAAAAACUUUAAAAUACUCUCUCGUCGAAAUUUCUCAAAUGGAUUGGAAUAUGUCGAAUAUCGUCGAUGUUUAAAAGUAAAUAAAAUUCCUUGAUACUUAACACGUUGAACACUUAAACAAAAGUUACGUCGAUAUCAUCUCGUUAUCGCGGAAGCUUGGCGAGGAAAUAUACCGAUUACAUACUUUUAUCGGCAGUGAGAGAAAAAUAUUGGCUUUCGCAGAUACGUCCAUUACGUGCAAGCAAGAACAAUAACAGUAAUACGAUGAAAACGCCACUAACCGUGUAAACUGGAGGAACGCACGAAAGAAGUGAAAGGUUCUUAUUUCUCGAAAGCGUUCAAGGAAUACUACCGUUCUUUUGUAAUUAUCGACAGCGUACUCGUGUUUUCUACUAGAGAAAAAGUAGAAAAAAAUUUAUUUCUAUAAUAUUUCUAGAUAAUUUUUCGAUAAAAUAAGAUAAAAAGAGUUUUCGAAUUUAAUAUUUUAACGAGUUAAAAAUAAUAGUAGAACGCCGGCACUUAAACGAUUCUUACUGUUCGUCAACAAUAAUUUAUAAAUUUUACGAAUUUAAGAAAAAAUCUAACUUUUUUUUUGGAUAAAAUUUUUAAAUUUAAAAAAGAAUAAAAUUCACCAAAAUUAUAUAAAUAUUGCCAUUUAAGUAUUAAUAUAUCGACAGCAGUAUAUACAGUUAUUAAAAAUAAUUAUACUUUGUCUCCAUUUUAGUUGAUCUUCAAUCGUAAUCUUGAAUCGUUUAUGAAUUUAAUAAAUAAAUCUUGACUCAA